rnacentral:rRNA from 1 species
GGGAAACCGGAGCUAAUACCGGAUAGCUCCUUGAACCGCAUGGGUCUAGGAUGAUUGACGGCUUCGGCUGGCACUUACAGAUGGACCCGCGGCGCAGUAUCUAUUUGCAUGGGGUAAUGUGCCUCACCUCGGUUACUAUGCGUAUCCCAGCUGAGAGGGUGAUCGGCNGCACUGGAUACUGCAGCACGGCCCAUNACUCCUACGGCGUAGGCAUCUGUGAGGAAUCUUCCGCAAUGGACGAAAAUCGGACAGAUCAUCGCCGCGCGAGUGAUGAAGGUUUUCGGACCUGCCAGAUCUGUGGAUGUGGAAUAUCUUAUGUUAUAUGGACGGCUCGCCCCUUUACGGUACCUAACCAGAAAGCCACGGCUAACUACGUGCCAGCAGCCGCGGUAAUACGUAGGUGGCAAGCGUUGUCCGGAAUUAUUGGGCGUAAAGGGCUCGCAGGCGGUUUCUUAAGUCUGAUGUGAAAGCCCCCGGCUCAACCGGGGAGGGUCAUUGGAAACUGGGAAACUUGAGUGCAGAAGAGGAGAGUGGAAUUCCACGUGUAGCGGUGAAAUGCGUAGAGAUGUGGAGGAACACCAGUGGCGAAGGCGACUCUCUGGUCUGUAACUGACGCUGAGGAGCGAAAGCGUGGGGAGCGAACAGGAUUAGAUACCCUGGUAGUCCACGCCGUAAACGAUGAGUGCUAAGUGUUAUGGGGUUUCCUCCCCUUNUUGCUGCAGCUAACGCAUUACUCACUCCGCCUGCGGAGUAAGUU